ACUUCCUCUUCAAUGAAUAAAUUCAAGAACCUCAACCACAGCAGGAGCCUGAGUCUGGGCUGGAGAUGUGUCAGCAGCCUACCAGACUCAGGGAAGGAACUUAUUCUACAGGCAGAUCUCUCUGGAGCAAACUGAAAACAGGAGCUUGGCUUCAAGGAGACAGGAAGCCAGAACCUGGACUAAAUCUGUGAGCCAUAAAACUUUAAAAGAAUCGGGGAAGGAACACACUCUACAUCCACAUAUCUCUGGAGCGACCUGAAAAGGAGAGCUUGGCCUGAAGGAGACAAGUAGGUUUCUGCUUUGUGGUUAUCAUGAGGCUAACAUAAAACACCUCAUAGAUCACGGUGGCCAGGACAUGGAAGCAAUCGAAGUGUCCUACGAUAGAUGACUGGAUAAAGAAGAUGUGGUACAUAUAUACAAUGAAAUAUUACUCCGCCAUAAGGAAAGAUGAAAUACUGCCAUUUGUGACGUGGAUGGAUCUUGAAAUAAUCAUGCUAAGCAAAAUAAGUCAGACAGAAAAAGUUGAAAACCACAUAUCACUCACAUGCGGUAUAUAAAACUGAAAGCAACAAACGCCUCAUAGAUAAAACAGUCCAUUUAAAGCUAAUAGCAACUUAAUUUUGAUCAUCUGUAAGAGCUCCACCCCUUUAUAUUUUAAUGUCAUAACAUACCUCUUUAUAUAUUGUAUACUUAUUAACUAUUAUAGUAGCUCAUAAAAUGAA